UACAACUCUGAGAUUCAUUUUCUUUUAGGCAUACUCAGCAAAUCUGUAGAAUAGUAACAAUAACAGGAUCAAUGAAAGAUCGGUCAGAGUGUAGAAGACAAUAAACUGUGCCAAUGCAAAUAUAAAUAAAUAGCAAUAAAUAACAAAAACAUGAAAUAAUGAGAUAAAGAGUCCUUAUAGUGAGAUAAUUGUUUGUAGGAACAUUUCAAUGACAGGCAAGUGAGUGUCGUUAACACCUUCUAUGCAAGAGCCUAAUGGUUGAGGGUAGUAACUAUUCUUAAACCUGGUGAUGUCCAAGUGCUGAGGCUCCUGCACCUUCUACCUGAUGGUGGCAGCGAGAAGAGAGCAUGGCCUGGGUGGUGGGGAUCUUUAAUGAUAAAUGCUGCCUUCCCAUGACAGUAUUUUACGUGGAUGUGCUCAGAGGUUGGUAGGGCUUUACCCGUGAUGAACGGGGUCGAUUCCAUUACCUUUUGUAAGCUUUUCCAUUCAAAGCCAUUGGCCCAAGCAGUGAUGCAGCCAGACAAUAUACUCUCCACUACACAUCUAUAGAAGUUUGUCAAAGUUUUCUGCAGGCUCCUAAGGAGGUAAAGGUGCUGCCAAGCUUUCUUCGCAAUUAUAUUUACGUGCUGGGUCCAGGACAGAUCCUCUGAAAUAGUAACACCCAGGAAUCUGAAGUUGCUGACCCUCUCCACCUCUGAUCCUCUGAUGAGGACUGGCUCAUGGACCCCUGCUUUCCCUCUCCUGAAGUCUACAAUCAGUUCCUUGGUCUUGCUGACAUUGACUGAGAGGUUGUUGCUAUCACAACAUUCAGCCAAGUUUUCAGUCUCCCUCCUGUAUGCUGAUUCAUCAUCACCUUUGAUUUGGCCCACAACAGUGAUGUUAUCAGAAAACUUGAAUAUGGCAUUGGAGCUACACUUAGUCACACAUCAUAGGUGUAAAGUGAGCAGAGCAGGGACUAAGCAUACAGCCUUGUAGUUGGAGGGGGUAUUAUUCCCAAACUGAACUGACUGGGGUUUGCAAGUAAGAAAAUCUAGGUUCCAAUUGCACAAGGAGGUACUGAGGCCCAGGUCUUGGAGCUUAUUGAUUAAUUUUGAGGGGAUGAUGGCAUUGAAAGCUGAGGUGUAGUCCGUAAAGAGCAUUCUGACAUAUGCUUCAGGAUUUGUGUUAUACAGCACCUCUCAUGAUCUCAAGCCAUUCCAAACUGCUUCAUGCCCAAUCAAUUAAUUUUUUAAAAGUCUGCUCUCUGCAAGAUUCAAAUGUCAGGAACAUUUGAACUGUGGUUGUGGCUGAGGCAGACACAGGGUGGUGGGAUGUAGUCUUUAAGAGGCCACAUAGUUAGGAAACUAGUUUGAGGUCGAUAAAGUACUGAGCUUGCAAAACAUCUGUUUUAGGUUUAAGCAUUUGCCAGAGAAACAAAAUGUGAGCAGCUAGGGGUGAAAUUUUCUGCUGGGAUAUAAGGCACUGACAGUAUCUUAUUCUAUAUCUAAUCAAAGAAAAUGUUUUCUCAACAUUAAUGGAUGUCUGCGGAGGUGGACCUGGGUGUGUUAGUGUUCCUGUGGAACUUGGCAUGCUUCCGUUUGAGGAUGACAAGUAAACUCGUACAGAUAAAGAAUGGGAAGCAAUCCAAGGCUUUACUCUUGGAAUACCAAAACCAUUAGCCACAAAUCAUGUGAGGCAAGUGAAAUUAUGCAUAUGGGAAGACAAUACAGCAUAAUUAAUCAUGACAAUAAUCCAUUCCCAUACCUGACCCCAAACUAGUGAGGCAGUUUAUCAAAGCGGUGAGUUUGAUGCCUCAGGCUGACUGAGAAUGGGAUGUAUUUGCAAGCCCUGAACUCCAGUGACUGGAGAUUAAUCUGGCAUCCCUAUGUGUAUGUAGAGUGAAGAGCACAAUGUGGUGUGUCAAUGCCUUGAAGUACUUGGCCAAGGACUUUUCUACAGGAAUGUGGGCUGCCACACCUUCACAACUAUUGGAGGUGGUCAUGAUGGUGCUCCCAGAGAUUGUCCAUAUGGUCAAGGGGUGAUAGUCACACAACUGGCCUGGGUAUUCCGCUGCAGAGAGGCAUCUUCUCAAUCACUGAAGUUAAAGAGACGGUGUGGGCAUUUCUUUGUGGCAAACAUAAUGUACCAAAACACUCUGCUCCAGCAAAUCCAUGUACACACUCCACCCCUGCUGUGUGAGCAGCUCCUACCACUGCUACCAACAUCCCUGCCAGAUAUUUCAAUCAGUGACUUCAACUGAUACAUUGAUGCAGAUGGACAUUCGACCAGUGUUAUCAGGAGACUGGACAACAGCUCCAGGCUGCUAUUGGAAUCAGCUAAAGAUGCAAAGUUGUCCAACAUCUUCAGCACCUACGCACUUGGACUGGACUAGGUAAUUCUCUAUAGUCUUAGAUAGUCUUACUCAUCAUAUCAAAGGAGGUUACGUUCAGAUCCACCGACAUUAUACUGGUGUUCUUCUCUGACCACUGCUUCCUGUAACCUAUGGAAGGACCAGAAGUCAAGCAGGGGGACAAGCUGCUGACUCCAGAGAAUGUGGAGGAACUAAAGGGGGGGGGGGGGGUUACAUGGGUUGGAAAACCAGGAAGCCCCUCCUUAAUUCUCUGUCUCAUUGAUGGGGAACAGCCAAGGAGAACAUCGAGAAGUUCUUCACCCUCAAAGGUGCUCGUGAAAUACUGCAAAGUCAGAGGGAGUUGUGCUAAUACCAGACAGACUUGUAGCAAUUUCUCCUUCUGCAGUCGAUAGAAGUUGAUGUGAGAGAGGAGUUCUCGGAGGUGAAGAGUCUGCAAGGUGCAUUCCCUGCUCAAGGAUCCACCAAGGUCAUCUACCAAUUUCUGAGUCCACUUCGUGGAGCCGGACAAGAAGUUCUCACGUUUUGUCUUCUGAACGGUCCGCAGGGGGAGACGUGUGAUCCACAGCCUCAAGGAAGAGAAUGGCUGGCAGGCAGACGUAAUGAGGAUCUGCAGAUCCUUUAUGCUGGUCUGUAUGACAGUAAGACACCACCUUCUGCCCAGAUUCAUGAUUAAUUAGCACGCUUUCUAUUUUUAUCUGGGGGUAACCAACUUGAGUUUGCGUAUGGCCCAGAGUCAGUGGAAGAGUCAGUCCAUGACUUCAGUAAUCAACUUGACUGAUCUAAUGCCCUCUUUGCUCUUUGCUCUUUGGUCAAGGUAUCUGGAAAUGCUGGAUCUGGUUCAGAGGGGCUAAUGUUAUGUCACCUCUUUCUAAGGAUUUGAUUUCAUUUUUACCAAUAGAGUCUCCUAUCACUACUGCUCCGAUUACAUCUGUAAUAUAUGAAUCUGUCAUUACGUCCCCAAUGCCAAUUAGAUCAGUGUCCAAAGAAUAGGAUUUGCUUUACACAGUCAACAAAUUGACUUGUCAUUUAUCUAAUAUAUUUGCCCAUUUAUUUUCUAUGACUUUUUGCAAUGGAAAUUAAAUUAGAGUUGAAAAUACACAUUGUGCUUUGAAGGGAGGAUAUCUCGGAUCUUUGUGAACAGUAUGUUCCAUCUGCUUAACUGCUCUGAUUGAAAUGUUAGCAAGCAACUAAGAUUCUAAAACAGAAAUUGUAACAGUGAGCAAUCAGUUCAUUGUCAAAUCACACAUGGAAAUCAAAAUAAAGUGGGAGAGGGAAAAGAAAACUGAUUAAGGGAGAGACAAAACAGAUAGAUAAAGUACAUUUUGUAUCAAAACAGAAGUUCCAACAAUUAAAAUCUGAUGAUUGAAAACUCCAUUCUUGAGAAACUGAAUUUUCAGAACCAAAAAGAUCGUCAUGAGUUAACAAUAUUAGUACCAUGGAGAAAUACCCAUUUUAUUGAAAUGCACAAACACCCUGUAGCUAUACCAAUCUUAUGGACUAGUCUAUAUGUCCGAUGUCAUUGUAGGAAUUUCAUCUCAUUCAAUUUUUGCAAAGUUGGCAAAUACAAGUCAAAGAAAAACAAAUAGCACCAAUUAUGGACCAAGAAGAUAACAUACAUCUGGAGUCAGAGAAUGCACUUAUAUUAACUGUCUUCAAAGAGAAUGGGUUGAUUCUAAUGUUUGGCCAAGAAAAUGCAGUUCAAUUUAUAAGUUGACAGAGGUGCUAUUGGAAGAAGUACAAAGCCAAGUAGGGAGUGUAGAUAGGCUGGAGUAUUUCCAUUGAAACGAUUUAAGCAAAUUGUGGCAUAUUUAGGUCACAUAGAUAUUGGACAGAUGGGAUUUAUCAGCCAUGGUUGGCAGCUCACCAAGGAGAGGGGAACUCUAAACUCAAACCUCCAUUGCCUUAUGGCUACAUCUACUCACGGGGAAGACUUCAGAAAUAAACCCUGAGGGAAAAAUCUGGACCUGGAGUUCCUAAGGCAGGCUUACAUUUACCGGUAGUUCAAUGCUGACUGGAAACUCCUGCAAUGCUGCUGGUACCAAACUGUAUCGGUCUCUGCUGUCCCUUUGGGUUCAUCAUUUGCGUGGAGAAGGGGAGCUUGCUACAUGGGCAACAGCUUGCUCUCCACAUCAUACUGUCCCGGCUUGCUUAUCUAGACAGCUAGGCCACAAUAUCCAUGGUCAACUCUGACUAAUGGAGGCCUCAGACUCAGAUAUACAAGAUAAAACUGAAAACAGAAAAUGUUGGAAAUUCUCAGCAAGUAAAGCAGUAUCUGUGGGAAGGAAAACAGUGUUAAUGCUUUAGGCUUUUAACUUUUUAUCUGAGCUUUGACCUUCUGAGUCUUUCCAGCAAUUUUUAUUUUAUUUCAGAUUUCCAUCUUCUGUGGUGACUUUGCUCCCCACUUGACCCGAAACAGGAGUGUGUGGGCCAUGACAGUCAAAGCUCAAACUGGAAACGGCACCUGAUGAUGAUGAUAAUCUUGGCUUAGCCUCCAUCUUAUAUCUUUGUUGCAUUCCAUCUUUAGAUGGGCCAUAACCUGAAAGCCCACUAUGGGAGGGAGAAAUUCAAGGAGCCAGUACCACAUACCGGUCGUCCAGUGUUUCUAAACAAGAGAAAAAUGUGCAGAUGCCGGAAGUCUGUGCAACACACACAAAAUGCUGGAGGAACUCAGCAGGCCAGGCAGCAUCUAUGGAAAAACGUACAGUCGAUGUUUUGGGCCGAGACCCUUCAGCAGACUGGAGAAAAAAACUCCAGUGUACUGUAACUUGAGUUUGUCAUUCCUGAAUCUAGUAGUUCUCUUUCAAACCUUCCAGCUCUGAACAGAUUCAUAGCUGAUCUAUAGCUAUGGUCUUUAGUAAGAUGCUGUUCUCCACACUUUGUUAUCACCCUGGACCUCAAGUGGCUCAGCUGACUUACUGCUGUUGAUCAGAUGUACGAUAUGAAUCAGGAAUACUGCUGAGCUGAUGUGAGUUUCACUGCUUCGUUAAAAUUUCUCUGAUAGCUUUUCACCCAUGAAGAGUUUUAUGUUAUACUUAAAGGUCAGUGGUGUGAUUUAUGGUCAGGUUCUUUGUAUGCCCUGCUAUCAUGACAAAACAAACAAUGUACUACAAGUGGUGGAGUCAAAGCAAGUAUGAGUGCAGAGAACACUGAGAAUGGACAAACAUGGCUGUUGUCGGCCAGCGGCCGUCAGUAGUUUUGAGGUCACCAUUUCUGAGAGCAACAAUAGAAAAGGAUGCAGAUUCUUAACAAGCUGAACUUUCAGAACCUCCCACAGAGGAAUUUGAACACAUUUGUCCAGAUAGUUAGUCCAGGGUUCUUUUGAAGACCCUGAUCUGGAGUUACAGGUUGACUUCGGUUCUUUGUAGGAAUGGGAGCAGCUCUCAGGGCCUCACAACCGGCCGUUUUUUGACAUGCCAAGGACGCGGUCUAGAAGACUAGUGUGUCUUCUGGAUGCCAGAUUUUCGUGGCGCUGGAGGUGGGCGGAUUCGAUGGGGGGGGGGGGGGGGUCGGUGCUGCCGCUGAAAACUGGUGUGUCGUGGGAGAUGGAAGAUCAUAAGCAGUGAGCUGGCUGUUGGCUGUGUGCCCAGAGACCCAAGAUCUUUGGGCACAGAGCUUGGAAACAACAAGGCAACAGACUUUUAACACCACAAAGUAGCGAGUUGCUUUAUUAUGUCUCCCCUCUCGCUGUGAAACAGGGACACCUCUUUUUCCCUUAUUAGGGAGAGAGAGAGGGAGCCUGUGGGAAGUCGAAUGACCCGGUGAACGAGUAGUCUUUGGGGUACUGCCUUUAUUGAUGCUUUGCUGCAUGCUUGAGUGCUUGGUGAGGGGUGCAGAUGUUUUUUUGCUGGUGGGGAAGGGGGGAUCGUUGCUUUGCUGAUGUUUAUGCAUGGGUCAGAGGACCUCGGGGGGCUUCGGGUUUCUAACAGUUAACUGUCAGUCAUUCUCUGGGGCACUCCUCUGUUUUCAUGGACGUUUGCAAAGAAGAAGAAUUUCAGGAUGUAUAUUGUAUACAUUUCUCUGACAUUAAAUGUACUGUUGA